rnacentral:rRNA from 1 species
UACGUAGGGUGCGAGCGUUGCCCGGAUUUAUUGGGCGUAAAGGCGCGUAGGUGGCCCGGUCAGUUCGUGGUGAAAGCGCGGGGCUCAACCCUGCGUCGGCCAUGAAUACUGCCGCGGCUGGAGCACUGUAGAGGCAGGCGGAAUUCCGGGUGUAGCGGUGGAAUGCGUAGAGAUCCGGAAGAACACCGGUGGCGAAGGCGGCCUGCUGGGCAGUUGCUGACACUGAGGCGCGACAGCGUGGGGAGCAAACAGG